AUUUUCAAAGCUACUUAGCCAUUUUAACCACCCUGCUUCCUAGCUGAGCCACAUCCCUUUGGGAAACGUAGCACCCAAAUUGCUGGCCAUUGUGAGAAACAGCCGGUGGCCCCAUGAUUAUUGCCCACCCCUGCUGUACCAUACGUGCGUAAGCCUACCAAAUUGCGGGAAAAGGCACAAGACAAUGAUGCAGUGAUGGUUCAUGAUCAGAAAAGGGGGUGCCCACCAAAAAUCUAGAGCUGAAAUUCAGAGCAACAUCUAACUUUAAGAAAUACGCAACUUAAUUGAAUAGACCUAGGAAUUUCCUCGCCUGGUCUGGAGAAGCUGCAGCACACUCCAUGUGCUCUGUCCAGCUUCUGCCCAAACCUGAAAUCUGGCAUGGCCCUACAAAUGCUGAGGCUUUCUAGAUCUGCCUCUCAAUGGAAAGUGCACAGGAGACCUUGAAAUCUUGGCCAGCAGUCACAGGUCUAUCCUCCUUCACAUGUGUCUAUUGUAGCCUUGGAUACCCACUGUGGUAUAGUAGUGGAUAGAGUAACAGUCUAGAAUCAGGAGGCCUGGGUUCCGAUCCCUACUCAGCCAUGGAAACCCACCUGCAGUGUGGAAUUGGUAAAACCACUCCUUAAAUAUCUCGCUUACCUUGAAAAUCCUAUUAGGGUUUUGUAAGUCAGUUCCUACUUGAAGGCACAUGACAACUAUCAUAUUCUUGCAUGAGUGAAACAUCUGUACAGACAGAACAAAGGCAGGUGGGGCGGGCGGAGGUUGGAAUAUAUGGCCCUUCCUUACCUUCUAUUUAUAGAUUAAGAGAGGUUUUCAGGUAAAUGAAACAAAUAACAAUUGAGGAAGACAACAGCAAGGAGUGUAGGAAGCCAGGAGAGACUCUCCAGGCUAACCUGUGGGGAUCAACAGCAACUCAGCCUGGAAUAAGGACUGAAGAGGAGUGGAGAAAAGAAUCAGGAUAAAAGAAAGUUCCAGCUUGGAAAUCACAUGUGGUGAUUUCAUUGCAACAGCCUUGUUCUCACAGUGACUCAGCAACUACCCGAAUUAGCAGCCUAGCACAGGCAAGUGGCAGUCCAGGUGCACUGGCGGUGCUUCUUCUCCAUCACAACAGCCCGAGCAGUACGACAGGAGUGUCGCAUGCUGCUGGGAGGCUGAGCUGACUUCCAGCGGCCCUAAGAGCCUUCUUCCUUAACCAGGCACAGGGUCCUUCCUUCCCAUCAGCUCUUAGGGACUUUUUAGGCAGAUGCUUUGGAUUCAGGAGCUGCAGCUAAACAGACUAAGUCAUCCAAUGUGACUCAGCAUUACUCAUUCCCUUGCUCAUUCCCUUGCUCUGGUGGAGGAAACAUGGAGGAGUCCUUAACGCUUCUCUCAACAGGCAUAUAAAUUGGUCCCUGCGCAGGAGCUAGAGAGAGGUUCCCUCUACGAGACGGUGCUAGGAUUUUUCAGCGAUUUCAAAGUGCUAUGCAAAUCCCUGGAUCUCACAAGGCCACAUCAUUUCUCCUGUAAUUAUUAGCAGAAAGUAAAGGCAGGAAUCUCCUAGGAAAUUUGGUGAGAGUGUGUAAUAACAUGUGGUUGACGAUAAUAUAUCUUUCUUUAUUUUGGUCAGUGUUC
ensembl:lncRNA